AUUGGGCGUAAAGCGCGCGCAGGUGGUUUCUUAAGUCUGAUGUGAAAGCCCACGGCUCAACCGUGGAGGGUCAUUGGAAACUGGGAGACUUGAGUGCAGAAGAGGAAAGUGGAAUUCCAUGUGUAGCGGUGAAAUGCGUAGAGAUAUGGAGGAACACCAGUGGCGAAGGCGACUUUCUGGUCUGUAACUGACACUGAGGCGCGAAAGCGUGGGGAGC
rnacentral:rRNA from 1 species